GGAGUUGUGGCUUAGUGGUAGAGCAUUUGCCUGGCAUGUGUAAAGCACUGGAUUCAAUCCUCAGCCCCA
rnacentral:tRNA from 1 species